CCCCCGCUCCCCGCCAGCAGCCAGCCCUGCGGGACCAUCACCCUCAGAGGUGCAGAGAAGCACAUGCCACUCAACCUCGGCCUUCCCCAAGAGGAACGGGCCCCAGUCCCACCCCAGGAGAGCAGACCUCCACAGCCCAACCGUGGAGGCCAGCGCACAGGACAGGCGUACCCAGCCCCUGAAUCGCCUCGCCCGAGAAGGGGUGCCCGCAGGCUCAGAGCUUCACUGACACCAGGCAGGGCACGAGCCGCACCCGCCAUGAUUCUGCCCUUGUCCGAGGAGAGGGGGCCCAUGCUUGAAGGGCCACAGAUGGAUCCGUGAGCCUGGGGCAGAAAUCUGGUAGUGGAGGAGGUAGGGACGAGAGGGGGAAAUGAGAGCAGAAAUAAUGCCAUGAGGAGCCUCAUUCCUUGACUGUGAACGUCACGCUUUUACGAGGAAAUAAAGAGCCCCUGACAUUUGGGAACCCGGAGCAGGUGUGGUGGUCAAAUCUUCUCAAGGGGCCUCCUAUGAAGGGAAUGCAGUGGAUCCCCUGCCUCCACCUGGACUGCCCUGCCUUCUGGGGCAGGCACCCUGUGCAUCUGCGGGAAGUUCUCUGAUCCGCGUGGGGUCCGGGUGUAGAGGCUUCUUACUCUGCACUAACCAGCUGUGUAACUGACCACAUCCAGACGUGCUUAAAAAUGGCUGACACCUGCCGAGACCAAGGCAAUCAUUCUGUGUCACGGCCACUUUGAACUGCCAUCAAACUGGGCUCCCGAGAUAUUUGCUCUCUCCGUGGGAUCACAGGUGACUUCAGAUAAUACUAUAGCAAAAACUGUCUCAAAAUACCUCCCAGCAAUGCAGCGAAACAAAACCCCUUUAUUCCCAAAUGCCAUGGCAAUUGUCCCCAAACAUGAUCUCGUCCUUUUGGGUACAUUGUUUAAAGAAAUAAAUAA